UCUUUGCAUCUGAUUUACCCACAUAUCGUCAAUUGAGAUCUCUGAAAUGCUUUUUGUCUUAGCUGGAGAGGUUUGAAUUCAUGCUCUUCACGGUGGAUCCGGUACAGACAAAUAGAACUAAUCAUCCUCCGAUCGCCGUCGUCGUCUUCAAUUUCUGGAAAGAUAUUGGGCAGAUAUCGUAGACUUGUUAAGUAUUCAUGUAGAAGUAAUUAUAUGUAAGCAAUCUGUGAGUGAUAGGAGCCGUGAGGAGUUUGUGGCUUUGGCAUGGGAAUUGAAGUGAUUGCAAGAACUGAGAUUUUGAAUCUGAUUUCAUCAGCCUUGGGAAGUUCAGGUCUUGGAGAGAGAGACGUCGAACAAAAAAUGCGGGAGAGAAGUUCAGGUAAGAGAACGAUUAACGCUGUUAUUCAACUAUUAGUGCACGGGACUUGGUUCACUUGAACAAGGUGCAUUGUAUCCACUCCGGCAAAUUAAUUACAUUGUGUUUAACAAUCUUGAAGCUAGUUUCGGUAAAAUGAUGACGGAAUCAUAUCAUAACUAAAAUUGUACUGCACUUGUCUGAAUAAUGAGGCUAUAACGUGGAUCAUAG